GUACCCGUGAGGGAAAGUUGAAAAGAACUUUGAAGAGAGAGUUCAAAAGGGCGUGAAACCGCUUAGAAUAAAACGGACGGAGCUGUCGUUGGCCCGUCGGAAUCAGUCGAUCGAUGCGCGAAAACGCGUCCGGUACUUCGGAACGAAAGUCCGUCCGGCGCGUUCGUACGUAGUAGCGUUCGUUCGAUGCAUUUCCGGCGGGUAUGCGCCGCGACCGAUGCGAAAGGCUAGUGAAACUGGCUGGUUGAGGUCGAAACCCUUUACGGGGUAUUCGUUUCCAGCCGGCUAGUACUUUGAUCGCUAGACCGUAGUAUGCAUCGAACGCUGAACGUUGAAAAGCGCCGGCGAAUAAGCCCUCGUUGAAGCGACGGAAAGUCGUCGGUACGUUCGACGCCUGCUCGCAGGCGUUCGUUCGUUUCCGAAGGCGUUUAUAGAAGUCGCGGACGAGUUCCGGCGUCUUGGCGUCCGCGGCGUCCGUGACGGUCACCCGUCCGACCCGUCUUGAAACACGGACCAAGGAGUCUAACGUAUGCGCGAGCUAAUGGGCGGAAAACCCAAAAGCGCAAUAAAAGUGAAAGCCGUUUCGGACGGCGAAGGGUACGAUCCCGUUCGAAUCUAUAUACUAACGGGCGCAGUACCGUCCCGUCCCGACCGCACGUCGGUAGGGCGGAGACUGAGUGCAUAUGUUGGGACCCGAAAGAUGGUGAACUAUGCCUGAGCAGAGCGAAGCCAGAGGAAACUCUGGUGGAGGUUCGUAGCGGUUCUGACGUGCAAAUCGAUCGUCAGACUUGGGUAUA
rnacentral:rRNA from 1 species